rnacentral:lncRNA from 1 species
AGUUGGCAUGGUUAUGUCCUAUGGCUAUAGUUGAUGGCUUGAAAAAGUUCUAUAAAUUCAGCCCUGGUCGGAUGAUCUGCGCUUCAAGUUGUUCAGUACACUCUACGGAUGGUCUUUCUUGCAUCAUUCCUAUAAAAGAAAGGAAGACACGAGUUGGAGGUUUAAUCUUUGAAAAUAAGACAUAUUAUUUUCCUAAGUAUUCUAAAAGGUUUAUCUACCCUAAACCUCAGUGCAAGGGAUUUAU